rnacentral:rRNA from 1 species
UACAGAGGCCACGAGCGUUAGGCGGAAUCACUGGGCUUAAAGCGUGUGUAGGUGGAUCGGUAAGUACCUUGUGAAAUCCCACGACUCAAUCGUGGAACUGCUUGGUAUACUGCCAGUCUUGAGGUACUCAGGGGCAAGCGGAACAGAUGGUAGGAGCGGUGAAAUGCGUAGAUAUCAUCUGGAACGCCAAUGGUGAAGACAGCUUGCUGGGGGUAUUCUGACACUGAGACACGAAAGCCAGGGGAGCAAACGGG